GUGGGGAAUCUUCCGCAAUGGACGAAAGUCUGACGGAGCGACGCCGCGUGAGUGAAGAAGGCCUUCGGGUCGUAAAGCUCUGUCAUCAGGGACGAACGGCCGGUGGAGUGGAAAGCCACCGGAUUGACGGUACCUGAGAAGGAAGCCACGGCUAACUACGUGCCAGCAGCCGCGGUAAUACGUAGGUGGCAAGCGUUGUCCGGAAUUAUUGGGCGUAAAGCGCGCGCAGGUGGGAUCUUAAGUCCAUUUUGAAAGUUCGGAGCUCAACUCCGUGAUGGGAUGGAAACUGGGAUUCUUGAGUACCGGAGAGGAAAGCGGAAUUCCCCGUGUAGCGGUGAAAUGCGUAGAUAUUAGGAAGAACACCAGUGGCGAAGGCGACUUUCUGGACGAAAACUGACGCUGAGGCGCGAAAGCCAGGGGAGCGAACGGGAUUAGAAACCCGGGUAGUCC
rnacentral:rRNA from 1 species